UACGUAGGGCGCGAGCGUUGUCCGGAAUUAUUGGGCGUAAAGGGCGCGGUAGGCGGUUUGACAAGCCUGAUGUGAAAUCUAUGGGCUCAACCCAUAGCCUGCAUUAGAAACGUGGUCGGGCUUGAGUAUGGGAGAGGUGAGUGGAAUUUCCGGUGUAGCGGUGAAAUGCGUAGAUAUCGGAAGGAACACCUGUGGCGAAAGCGG
rnacentral:rRNA from 1 species